rnacentral:lncRNA from 1 species
UCUCCUCCUCCUCCAGAAUCAAUUCCAAUGUCUUCCAUCUCAUCUUCCUCUCAUGACGAUCUUCACCUUAGAAAUGAAUAUUUUCAACUACUCCCUCUCUUUUUGAUAUGACAAAGGGGGGAAUGAAUUAAGGAGCUAAAUUUAGAAAUUUGAGAAGUAAUAUUUUGUGUACUCUAGAAAUGAAUAUUUAGAAAUGAAAUUUGAGAAGUAAUUUAGAAAUUAAUAUUUUCAACCACACGAUCUAAUGUUUGCUUAUUUCUCCUACUAGUAUUUUAAUUUCUAAAUUAGGAUUAAUUGCUUUUUAUUUUGUUUUAAACCAUUUGAAUAUUCAAGAAAAUCAUUUGUGAUGUAAUUUAUUUAGUAUGAAACUAUGAAUGAUAUAUUAUGGUUCAAGUAAAUCACAAGUUUAGUUACUCAAUUUGCAUUUUAAAACUUUAAUAUGAUAUUGAAUGCUAAAAUUUUAGGGAGAGCUCUUUGUUAAAAAUAUACAAAUAUUGUUACUGAUUUGCUUAAUGAGAAUCAUAAAUUAAAAUCUAAUUCAACAAGUUUGUCAUCAUAAAAAAUAAGAGUUGCUGAGGUAAAAUUCCAAUUUUAUAAUAAACAUUUGAAGAAUAUUUUUAAGACUGAUAUCUAACCUGUACUUUUGAGUGGUUUAAUUUAUAGACAGGUUCUGAUUAUGAUACAAGCAUCUCAUAUUCGCGACAUAAUUUAAUCCAUCUUUGUGACAUGAUGCAUCCCUCUAAAUUGCGAUAGAUUGAUAUUUUGUAACAAAAUCCAUCACUAAUUUGUGGUCAAAAUCAAUAAUUAUAUGUUAUGUUUUCGUUUGGUAUUAGUGAUGGAAGAAUUAAGAGUUUGUUUGAGUUCAAGUGGUUAAUGAGUUCCACAUAUGAUGAAUUGUUUAAGAGAAUCUGAAUUCGAUUUCUGAGUGAAAUAAUUCUAUUAUUAACCAAACUUUACUUAUCUUCUGAUCGAACUCCAAAUUAUCAAGACUAUUUCCAUUGAGAACUAGAGGGUUAACACAACCAAAAAAACUAAGAGUUGUCUAAUAUGAACCUCCUAAAAAAGGUUUAAAGUUGGACAUUUACUAUUUUUAGCAAAAGAUUGAAUUUUAUAAUAAUAAUAGUAAAAGGAAAAAAAUGUGUAAUGUUUUAUCAAAACUUACAAAAAUCGAAUUUUUCUAGAAGUCGAAAUUUUUUGGUGGAAUCUAGAGAUCAAUUUUAGAUUAUGUCCAUCUAAAGUCGAUCAUUUCCGUUUAGAGAUCGACUUUAGAUAGACAUGAAAAACUCAUAUAUGUGAGGAUACAAUUAUGUCGCAAUUGGCUAAAAUUUCUAGAUCUCCUAGCUAAAUAUUUAAUGUCCAACAUCCACGGUUUUGUUUAUGUGGUUACAUUAAUUAGUUUGCGACGAAAUUGUGUUGCUUUAGCGACAAAUCACAUACCCUAUCUAAAUUUAGUUUUUUUUCUUCUUCUAAUGGAGUGGCCAAUAAUAAAUAGUUUCUUUUAAGGGAUAAUAAAUAGUUUCUUCAAAAAAAAAAUAGCCAAACACAAAAGCUAUCGGAAAAAAGCCCAAGGACCCAAAAAGAUCCCCGGUCACACACAAAACCAACAAAAAAUGAAGCCCAUCCCAACACGCCAACAUGAGAAAUAAAGACAAAAAACACCCACAUGACAGAAGAACCUCGAAAUCCUGGAACCACCCAAACCCUCAAAGACAUAUAAGAUCCAUAUGUGUCAAACAACAUUGAACCCUAAAGGUGUCAACGUACAAAGAAUUGGUUGUCUCCCACUCGUAAGGGGAGCCGCGCGAUGCCUAGAGAAUUUACCAAAGAAUCACUCCCAAGAAUGAAAAAUAAUCCAAUCAACAUGUUGCUGCUCAGUCUCGAAGUUACUUCUUGAGAAAGGUCAUUACGAACUUUUCAAAUAUACCACACAUUCGCAUGCCCUAGCUCUCCUCCUAUAUACACCUAAAAGAGAACACACCAACUAAAUGUUAAGAACUCGGACACUGCAUAUCAAAUGCUCAUACACGACUACCAUAUUUGAUGUACUGAUUGUGUACUCUUUUUUUUUAUCCAAAAGUACUAAAAGUAAAUGAAGAAAGAAUAUGAGGAAGUAUACAUAGUACAUUUUUAUUUGUCUAAAAAGUAGUGAAAAUUUAACAUGGUUGGUUAUUAUAAAGUAAAACUAGCAGCCCUAAACACCGUAGUAGCAAACUUAAGCCAAACCCAUGCUGGCCCAUCAACUUAUAUAAUAAUUACCCACGAACGUUAGUGGAAAAACUCGGUUGCAUAUUUUAUUGUCUCCCCUAUAAUUGUUAUAACCUACAAAUACUUAUACGUCACUUAAAUUUGAGCAAUCUCAUCCAUAAAUUCCCACCCCACAAGGCCACAACAACGAUUAAAGAAACAAAUUAAGAGAGAUUAUACAUACAUAUACACUCCUACUUAGGUCCAUUCCACCAAUUAAAGGAAUCACAAACAAGAAGAGAAAAAUAAAAUAGCUAGAGAGAAAUACAUAAAGAUGAGUGAAGAAUGUGGUGGAAACACUAUUGCUACCUCUACUACUCCAUUAAACUGGUGGUAUCUUCAAGCAAAUUCUCUUUCUUCUAAUUGGAAUGAUGUUAAACAUGCAUGGAACAACCAAAUGAAUAAUCCAAAUUCUUCCUCUUCUUGUGAGGAUCAAGAUAUAUCAGUUUCUUCUACAUCUUUCACCAAUGCAUCAAACCAUUCAAGCCUCACUGUUGAAUCCUCUCGAAGAGUAUUCGUCGAGCCGCAUGCACCACCUUCCUCCAACGACUUCAUGGCCGAACAUGCUUCGGAUAACCAACUAUGGAGUCAUGUUUUAUCGUAAGUUUCGUAAAUUGUUAAUUAUUACAAUUGUGCUAUAUGUUAUAAUGAAAACUAGUCUCAAUAUCACGAAAUAAUGUGCGUUAGAAUUUCAGUACAAAGGAAAAAAAAUUCAUAUGCUAUUGACUGAAAACAUGGAUCUGUCCAAUGAUAUUAUUUUGUGACACUUCUUAAUGGAACCCCUUCAUGACAGUAAACAAUUUCCUAAUUAUUAAUAAAUAUCUGAUGUUUUUACUGCUAUAUAUUAUUGAAACUGGCAAAAAAUUUUAUUGCUAUAUAAGAGACAAAUCUUUUACAGUUUUAGGUUAGAAAUUUUGUGAAGUUUAAGGGUGUUUUAAGUUAGGUAUAUAGGGUUAAAGUAUACGAUGGUUUUUUUCAGUGUGAGUAAAUAAUAUUCUUCUAGGCCUUUGCUUUCCACUAUCUAUAACAUGCUAACAGCUGUUAUGUGCACUAUAAUCAGUGUUUUCACACUAUGCAACAAUGAUCUCUUGUUUAUCCAUCCACAUACCAAUAAAAACCCUCUUGGAUUCUGUAAGAUAUAUAAUUAAAAAGUAAAUUUAUUAUAUAUUUUAGUAUAUAUACAGCUAAUUAGCUUUUUGUUUUGAUAAGAAAUGUUUGUAUAUUUUAAUUACAACUAAUUUACUUUCUUAUGUAAAAUAAUUUAUAGAGGUGUUGAUUCAAAUGGAGAGUUACACAACAACCAAGAAAUUGGAGAGAAUUUCUUGGAUGGACUAUCAUCAAAAACCAUGACAAACACUAUGUUUGAUGAACCAGCUUGUGACUAUUUGAAGAAACUUGAUACAACAAGUUGGGAAUAUAAUACUAGUGGUUCAACUUCAUUCAAUACUAAUUUUGAGAAGCACUUAAAUGGGUACAGUGAAGCUCUUAUUGAGAAUAAUGAAAGGUUGACAAAAUUAUCCAAUCUUGUAAGCACUUGGUCUAUUGCCCCACCUGACCCUGAAGUUAGUAGCCACUUUGAUUCACAAACAAAUAACAAUUUGUCUACUAAUUUGAAUAAUUCUAAUUCGUCCAAUAUGGAUCAUAAUCACUACACACAUGAUUCUGACCCUAAUUGUCAUUUCAAACUACCUUUUGGUGAUUCCACAUCAUGUACUAUUAGAGAAGGAGUAGGUAAUAAAAUGUUCCCUAGUUGCCUUGAUAUUCAAGACAUGAAUAAGGUUAAGGAAGAAUAUCAUCAUCAUGCAAGUGAAGUGAUGCAAGGACAUGUAUUUAGAAAAUCACUUAAUCCAAAUGGAUAUCUUGAUGGAUUUAACUCAGUGGGAGAUCACAAUGGCAAAUUUUAUGAAGGGUUGCCAAAUAUUUCACCAUGCACCAAAAAUUUCUCAGAUGUUAUAUCCUUUAAUAGUAGGCUUGGAAGGCCAGUUGUUGGAAUCCAUCCACAAAGGCCUAAUAUGAGAUACUCAAACUUAUCUGAGUCAAAGAAACAAGGGCUUCAAACACCAUCACAUGUGAGUUUUUUCUUCUUCUUUUAUAGACAAAUUUUAUUUGUUAAUUUGUUUUGUUAGCAGCAUACAAAUUUCACUUAAAAUAGUGAUGAUCCAUCUUUAUAUCCUAUAUUUUUGAGAGAUCCAUAUUUUUCUAAAACGGUAAAAUUUAUUAAUAAUUAAGUUUCUGCACUAGACGAACAGAGACCUGUAAAAUAUAUAUGAGACAAAUCCGAAAAAAUAUAUGAAGUAGCGACAAAAAAUUUAAAAAGAAAUUUUUAUAAUGUAUUUGUCUCUAUAAAUUAGACAUGGAAAUUUAAUUAUUUUUGUUUCUAAUUUCUUGGUUGAUUUAACUUUUUUUAGUAUGGCAACUAAUUUCUAUUCAAAAUUUAGAGAAAAAGUCAUGCUAGCUCUGACAUUAUUUUGUCAAAUAAAAUGUGUAUGCAAUUAAUUUAUGCAGAUGAGAACCACUAAUGGAAGAGGAGAGGGAACAACACGUGAAGUAAAGAAGAAAAGAUCUGAAGAAUCAUCAGAAGCAAGUUUGAAAAAGCCUAAGCAAGAUACUUCAACAACAAAUUCAUCUUCAAAGGUACAUAAAUAUAUUUAUUAUAUAUUAUGUAAUAUACGUACCAACAUGAACUAAUUAUGAGUGUAAAAAAGUCAUAUAAAGUGGGGGAAACCUUUUUAUUUUGUGUAUUAAUGUAAAUUAAGAAACUUCUAUUGAUUGUUUAAAAGGUGCAAGCACCUAAAGUCAAGCUAGGAGACAAGAUCACAGCCCUUCAACAAAUUGUGUCUCCAUUUGGAAAGGUUACUACAGAAUGCACUAAUCCCCACACCCUCUUCCCUUUUUCAUUCCUAUCUUUUUUGUAUAAAUAAUUCACAGUGCUUUUACUUUUCUCACUACCUACUUCAUAAUAAUCAAUUUAUUUUAUUUUUCUUUGUUGAAUUUCAGACUGAUACAGCAUCUGUGCUGUUUGAAGCAAUAGGGUACAUAAAGUAUCUUGAAGAACAAGUCCAGGUGUGUAUCAUUAUGGAAAAGUUCCCAUUCAUUAUGCAUUAUAUGUAACUAUAUAGUAUAUAAUAUACAUUAUUGUUGCUUUUCUCCUCCUUUUCAUUUUUAAUUAAUGCCAAGGAAACUUGACUUCUAGGAUUAUUAGUUCUUUAUCAAAAUGAAUAAACUAACAACAAUGCUGUGUUGAGCGAUUACACAUUUUCCAUGAAUAUCUCAUGAGCUUCAUCAACUAUAUAAUAUAAGGAGAUUUUAAAUAACACCUAACUAAAAUCUAAUUAUGAUUAGUAAAAAUAUGUGCCCCUGCCAGUAUGUUAAUCUUAGCUGCAACAAAUUACAAAAUUGUAUACUAUUAGUAGAUUAAAAACAAAACAAAAUGAAAAAUAAAAAUUUUAUAGGGACUAAACAUGUUUAACCAUGUACCAAAAAAAAAACAUAUUUAACCAUAUAUACUUUAAGUGAUUAAAGAUGCAGGUUUUUUUUAUCAUAACCCUUCCAUUCCUAGAAAAUGGCCUAUAUAAUACAUGUUCCGGCCGGAAAGUAAGUAAAGUCUGACAAAUAAUCAUUUUAAGUCAUAAUUUGAAACCAAGUUUCUUCUAAACUAUUGGUAUUAAAGGUGCAGCUUCAAACACAAACAGUUCAACUAUAAGUAAUAUAAUCAUCUUUUUCUUCAUUAUAUACAAUUAACAGUUUAAUUUAUCUUUAAUUAAUUCUUUUUACGUUCAUAAUUAUUAUGCAGUUACUGAGCAACCCUUACUUGAAGGCAAAUUCACACAAGGUAAUUAAGAAAUUAAUCUAUAUAUAGAUAUCUCUAUUAAGUACUUUUCAAAAUUAAAUUAUUCUCUCAAAAUUUCACUCUUAAUUAGAGAUGAUUAACAUAAUAAUUAAUCCAGGAUCCAAGGGGAAGCUACUUCGAUAGAAAAGAUAAGGAGGAUGCAAAGCUAGACCUUCGAAGUAAAGGUCUUUGUUUAGUUCCUACUUCAUGUACCCCUAUAGUUUAUAGAGAGAACAAUGGGCCAGAUUACUGGACACCAGCGUAUAGAGGAUGUAUGUAUAGGUGAUUAAUAACACAUGCAUAUGACUUAUGCCAAAAAUAGUAUGUGGUUGUAUGUACUAUAAUCUUGGAAAUUAUAAGAUCUCGUCAAUAAAUCAUAUAUUAUCCUGAAUGUAACUAUUUAUUUAUUGUCUUGAUGUAAUGCCUGGUUACACGAGUAUACACAUUUUAGUUGACCUUCAAACAAGGGCUAGUACUUAGCAUUAUUGAUUUUUCUUUUUUUAAAGUUCUCUUACUAGAAAGAAUGUGUUUUUCAUACUAAAAAAUUACUUGAGUAAAAAAAACGAUAUUAAUAAAAAGACUCUUAAAGUAAAAAUGUUUCUCUCAGUGAUAUAGACAAAAGAUGCACAUUUUACCAAUUUAGCUCUCCAAUUACAAACAAAUUAUUAACAGUCACAAUUGUUGGAUGAUGUAAAAAUUUGACAUUAACUAAUGUUUUUUUUACGGAUUAAUAAUUUUUUUCUACGAAUAUAUAUUCAAUUUUCAUUUUCUAUAGUUUUAUUCAAAUUGCUAACGAAGGAAAUGAAACACUCAUGUAAUGUAUAUGUGUGAUAGGGAGAAGGUGAUAAGCAAACUAGCUAGGAUGAAUGUAUUUUCAAAAUCAAUGAAAAUAAUGUUUAGGCACUUUCAAAGUUUAUCAAAAAGUUUUAUAUGUUUUAAAAAAAAUGUAAAAGAAGAUUGUGAUGAAAAUAUUCUUUUAUGUUCAUUUGUUGAAGUGAAAAUAAAAAAAAAUAAAAUAAUAUUUAUUAGGUAUAAUUCAGAGUAUAAUUAAUCUCACAUUGAGUCUCUCAUUAGUUGGUUAGUCAAAAGAAUAUGAAAUUCAUUUUAUUUUCUAAUCGAAAAUUAAUUAUAGCGAAGCAAUUAGAUAAUUCACACCUAUAAUACAAUCUUUAAUUUUCUAAUAGGUGUAAAUUCUCUUAUAGGUGUGAAUUAUAGCAAUUAGGUAAUUUUCUAAUACAUACCUAUAAAAUUAUCUAAUCUAAUUGUUAUAAGAAACUUCUAAGGUACACUCAGAAAGUGAGGUGUACCGGUACUCAUGCUUCAUAAUUUUAUAAAUUAACGAUCAUUUUUUAUGAAAUAAAUAGUUAUUUGUUAAUAUUAAUAUUUUAUAGAACAUCAUUUCAUAAGAAAAAACAUCAUUUCAUUGUUUAUAAGAAUUAUAAUAAUUUUUUUUACAUAUUAUCAUAAAAAAUAAUCAAUGUUCUCAAUUAUGAGUGAAAAAAAUUCAAAAAAAAUUAAUUUUAUUUCGUUGACACUUUUGAUAAAUAAGAUUUAAUUAUUAUAAUUAUAGAUGAUAAAAAAUAAUAUUUUUCUUUAAAAAAACAACUCAUUUAACUAUUAAUUUAAAAAAUGAGUAUACCAAUACACUCAAAUAUAUUGGAUGUACCAUAAAAUUUGCAUUGUUAUAAUUAUCUUAUACCGAAGUAAUUAGAUAAUUCACAGGUGUGAAUUUUUUGAUGAUUGUAUUAUAAGUGUGAAUUAUCCAAUUGCUUCGCUAUAAUUAAUCUCCACCUAAAAUUUCACUAAUCAACUUUAGUUGAGUCUCUCUUCUCAAUUACUACCUUCGUCCUAAUUAUAAGACUCUUUUGAAAAAAUAAUGGGAAUUAAGAUAGUGGAUAUUUGUAUUAAAUAUGUUUGUAAUUACUAUUGUUUUUACAAUUUUAUCCUUUAAGAAAUAGGGUUGGCUUAUGUUUUCAACAUUUUAUUUAUUGCUGAUUGAAGAAAAAGAUGUAUAAUAAAUAGGGGCAUGUAUGUAAAGAAAUAAUUAAUGUAGUUGGAAAUAGAAAAGGGGUCUUAUAAAAAGGGACAAAAUUUUUUUCUCAAAAGGGUCUUAUAAUUAGGGACGGAGGUAGUAUGUUUUUUUUUCUUCAUCCAAAAAAACCCUUUUUAAAGUGAAAUAUCAUAGAGUUAUUUAUUUUUUCGCAAAGGACUCACCAAAUAAUGUAUACAUCACCUCAAACCCUAGUCGUCACCCUUUUCUUCUUCUUUUCAGAGGGGUGAUUUAGGGUUAUUUUUGACACAAAAUCACCCCUCCGAAUUGUUUUUUCUUCUAUCAUAAUUAAAUAACUGAUUUCACAUAUUUUCAGUUUUCUUUCGUUUGAUUUGUGAUUACGUCGUCUCUGAACGACUCUGUUUGUUUUGAUUUCCCGUCUUUAUCCGGUGUGUUUUUGAUUUCCCAUCUUAGUGCGGUGUUUAUUUGAUUCAGGUUGAAAGAUUAGCUUUAAGCAAGUGCAGAUCCGAUCAAUGACAAUGACUUUGGCGUCGUCAACGUUGCAGAUUCGGAGACAUGAGUAUUCCGGAGACAUGAAUAUAGUCAUAUUAAUUAUAUUUGUAGGCAUAGGUACUUUGCCGUUUUAUGCUAUUAACAUGGAUGCUGUGAGUUUGUUCACAGAUUCAUCCUUUUUAUUUUUAGCAAAUUUGAAUUUGUAUUGUAUCGAUGUACUCUAUCAAUUUGAAAGAAUGCAUAUUGUUUAUUUUUGUCAAAAAAAUAAUAAUAAUGUAUACAUCACCUUAUACCGUAAGAAGCAUAAAAGACACUCAUUAACAAAAUAUUUGAAUAAGAAAGCAUAGCCUGAACUAUAUAAGCUUUGGAAAGUUAAUGAAAACAAAAUAUAGUUCUCCAAAUCUAAAAACCAAGCUGAUUAAAAUUGUUGAAAUUGAACAUUUGAGUUGACUCUAGUGUUUGUCACGAUCAAUUUGCAAGAGAAGGACCAAAUUUGACAUGUAAAUCAAAAUAUUUGAUAAAAGAAUUAGUGUGCAUGUUCAUCACCUGAUGUACAGAGAAAAAUACUAAAUAAAUUAUAUAUUCAUGGAUGGUCAACUGAGAGUUAGCUAAGUGUGCAUCACAUUAAAAACUUUUGUAAUAUAUUGUAACUUUUUAGGUUAUUGUCACUAAUUCUCAGUACUUUAGAAUAUGUGAAAUUGUAGAUAGAUUCUUCAUAUAUAUAGAAUCUUCAUACAUAAAAGGUUCACACUCCAUUUUAUACUCCUUAAAUAUGGUAUCGUUUUUAAUUUUUUUUGUAUAAUCAGUAGAAUCAUAUUAUUAAUUGACUGUAGAAAAACAAAACCAUAUAUGGUGGAACAGCAUGGAUGGUUUUGAACAUGUCCACUCACUAACAUUGAACGAUUUAGGAUGAUUUAAACAAGUAAAAGAUGGGAUUGAUUCUAGAAGUAGAGAGAAUGACGUAUUGUUAAGUGCCAAUGAGAAAUUGGUCAAAGGGGAGAUGAGCAAAAAAGCCAAUUGCAAGGUUGGUGGUGCACUCAAACAUAGAUCAGUCAUGCUUCUUAUAAUGACAACCAAGACAAACACACCACCCUCACAAAUCCUCACAAUUUUUUUGGAACAAAAGUAGUUUUUUUUUUUCAUAAUCCAAAUAUAUGGAAUUGAUAUAAUGAUAUAAUUCAUUUCAGUAAUUUUGAAAUUGAUAGUAAUUUCAAAUUUUUAGAAACAUCACUCCCUUCUUUUUCUCUUCUCCUCUUUUCAUCUUCUUCGUUCGUCGAUAAGGAGUGGUUUAGAAUUAAUUUUUUUUGGCAUAAAUCACUCAUCUAAUUAAUUUUUCUAUCUUUUUAUAUAAGUGAUUUUUCGUAUAUUUUUUUUUUUUGUGAUUUUGUCAAUUUAGUACGGCCUAUUAUUUUGUUUGCCAUCUUUGCUGCUAUGUUAGUUUGUUUUUUCGUUUUGUUCUGGUGUUUAUUCUAUUUAAUUGAUAUAUUAGAUUUGAUCUGAAAGCAUUGAUAUCUCAAACACUUUAAUUUUAUUGCAUUGAUAGGCUUUAUCAUAUUUGUAUUUAUAUUUUUCUCAUUUUCCUUAUGUUCUGAGAUAGAAUAUCAAUCAUGGCAAUUUGAAUUUUGAAAUGAUAGGAAUUGAUAUUCACUUUGGCAAUUUUGAAAACUACGGAAUUGAAUUUUGAAAUAAUUUAGAUCUAAAAGAGUUGAUAUUUUUUAACCUUUUUUUUUUUUUUUGUUUUUUUACCUAAAAAAAUAUUUUUUUUCUACAUCUUGUUCGUAUAAGGAUAUUAAUUUAUUUUAUAGACUAAUAAAAAGAUUAACAUCCUUCUUCUUCUUCAGCCUACAAACUAGUUCAUCACCACCACCGACAACCUCCAUAACACUGUUAAACGUUUAAAUCCAACAUCAACAAUAGCAAACAACACCAAGAACCAUUUCCUUCCAAUAAACAAACACAAACUAAAAAUUCUUAUUCAUCGUCAACUCAAACUCAUACCACAAUCUCCGUCAUCAUCAUCGCAAUACCAGAAAACAUUUUCCCUUCAAACUAACAAACCCAAACGAAGAAACUUGCAAACUCGCUUUUGUUGCCUAUAAUUGGAUUUGCACCAUAAGAAUUUUGUUUGUGAAUUUAGAUGGUUUUAUGCUUUUAUGUGGUCGAACGUGGCAUUUGAAGCACUUUCCAUUAACAAUGUUGAUAAACUUUUUUGAACAAACAAUGUUGAUAAACUUAAAGUUGGAUGCAAUAAGCUAUUAAGGUUCAUAGUGCAAAUCGUUUUCUUUUGUUGCUAAGUUUUUUUUUGUUUUUAAAUCUUUCUUUUAUUGGAUUUGGUCCCUUGCCAAUUUCAUUUUUUUUGGUUUUCGUCCCUCUCACUUAUUGACUAAUCAACUCAUUUGCCACGUGUCAUUUGCUUGCCACAUCAUCCAUUGUCACGCCAUCAUCUGAUUGCUCUCAUACAUGUUUUUGUAACAAAUGAUGACAGCAUGAAUGAAAAUCAAAACGUUUGCAUCUUACAUAAUUUGUAUAAAAAAAUGUUUUGAGCCUGAAUUAGAAGAAGCCCGAUCUCUUUUUUUACCAUAUCAUUAAAAAUUUAUAAAGACAAUAUUUUAAACUUUUCUAAUUACCUUUUACGCCAUCAAUCACUUUUAUAUUACCAUUUUUGUAUGUGUAUAGAAUUUUUUUAUACAAUUUCGUCAAAUUUAAUGGAAAAUAUAACAUAUAGCACAACUCUUUUAACAAAGGUUAUAAGUUCAAUCCAGCUAUGAAAUGUAGCAAUGUUAAAUAUUUUGAAGAGAAGCAUUGCGAUUCAUUGCUUUUCAUCAUCUCCCAUUUUGAUGAAUGAAUUGGUAGCAAUUCUCUUUUUAAUUCGUUCAUUCAUGGGUGGAGCUGGGCUUUGUUUCUUCCAUGCCUCCUAAUUGGCCUUUUAUGUAACUUUGCUUUUCGGAAAUUGUUUUUCUCCAUUUUGUUUUUGCUUAUUUUAUUUAUAUGUCUACGUGAGGGACGUUAUACCCCCACACCUCUACACUUAUAUCUUACCCAACAAUUUUUAAAAAUUCCAAUUUUACCCCUUUUACUAUAUAAUCUUUUACACAUAAAUUUUUCACCCUCAUUUUCAACAUCUCUUAAUUAAGGAUGAGUUCACCGCCACAUGAUAUUUUUCUUGAUACUUAUUUCCUUUUUUGUUUUUCACUAUCAAACGUUUCCGAAAAUAUUUCGGAAUAUUCAUAUAUACGUUUACAAAAAUAAUAUGAGAACUAGUCUCUCUUCAAAUGAAUGAUGCAACACAACUUAUCUUUCUCCUUUGAUGGAAAAAAUUGUUCUAAUACCAAUUAUUGAAAGAAAAAAUCAAUAAAAAAUCUUUAAACAAGCGGCAACACAACCACAAAAUAUGUAAAAGAGACAAAAACAAAUCACAAGACUGUUUAUCGACACUUCACACCUUCAUUCAUAAUAUCUUAACAAAAUAUUUGUUACAAAAAUAUGCAUACUUUUACUAGGAAUUGCAAACCCUCUUAUACAAUUAUAAUUUUUGCAUAGAUAUAUGCAAACUAAUCUUUCUCAAUUACAAUUUUUGUAAGAAAAACUACAAACUCUUUUAUGACACACAACUACCCAACCUCUUUUUUUUUUUUUCAUUACUCGAUGUGCGAUGUGAAAGAAUAUCAAUUUUAGAGAACAAAUGACUAUAAUUUAUAGGUGGCCUUUAUGAUUUUUCGCACAAAUUUUCAUACUGUGAAAUGUGAAUAGAUGCAUGUGCAGAGAUGGAGUUCAUAAUUUAAAUCUUACGUUAAAAAUAAAACAAGUUUUUAAUGUUAUAGUUUAAAAAUAAAAAAUUGUUUCUUAUAUACAAUAUUUUUAUGAAUAUUUACAUAGUUUUUAAAAAAAAUUAAUAAUGAAUGGUAUAUUCGUGUCCUGUAUGACACAAUGAAACAUAUGCACAUGAAUAAAUUAUACAUUAAGCCUAAUCAUAUGAUCUGAAAAGAUUUUCUCUACAUCUCGUCGAGCUAGCAAGGUAGAUAGAUGUCAACUAAUAUAUAUACAUUAAUUUUUAAUUUGAAUUUUUUUUAACAGCGUUGGAUUGACUUAUAUGUGAUAUUUUAUUUCAUAUUAGGGUAGAGUCUGCUCAUUGGAAACUGAAGCAAAUGUUGGAAAACAGCAAAGAUGACUUGUGCAAAUGUUGGAAGGGUAUGCACAACAUGAAGUUGCAAUUAGGAAAAAUCAUAGCUUCAUUUCAAAAAAGUUUUUAUGAAGUUGAACACGCACACACAAGUCUAUUUUAUGAAAAAUUGCGUGGAUUUGUUUCUAGAGCUGCUUUAACAUGCAUUGUUGUUGAGUUUGAAAGAGUUAGAUAUAUGGAAAUCGACGAAUCGACAUGUGGUUGCAAACUCAGAACAACAUAUGGAUUGCCUUGUGCUUGUGAGUUAGGAAGAUAUAAAAUUAGUGGUAUACCUAUACCAUUAGAUUCAAUUCAUAUUCAAUGGAAGAAAUUAAGCAUGGAAAAGUCAACAAGAGGAAGACACGGAAACUGGAUAAAACGAUUGAAACUAAUAAAACCUUAUUAUAUGACUAAUAGAAUAAAAACACCCCCUUUGAAUUACAAAGUGUGGCUAGAAGGGAACAAAUACAUUAUACAGUAUAAGCAAAGAGUGUGUUAAUUACUUACAUGACCAUACCACAGGGAGCUUUUCUAUACUUGACAUUAAAUUUAAGACAGUACACGUUUACUUAAGCUUAAUUUUACUAUAUUUAGUUAGCAAAAACAGCUUUUCAACUACAGUAGUUGUUUGAAUCCUUUAAAAAAAUACAAGUAAUUGUUUUAACUUUUAAUCACACAAAUAAACUACUCCAAAAUCCAAAUACAUAAACAAGCUUGGCUAAUGUGCUCUUGAUCUUUACAGACAAAGCAACAAUCACCCUUUAAAGUCUAAACAAUCCCAUUACUUAGAGAUACACAUAAGAAAGCACAAAGAAGCCAAAUCCGAUAUAAAAAAUAAAUGUGAUACAUACACAAGUCACAUAUAAAUAAUACUUCAUCAUCAGGGAACAAUAUAUCAGUCUUUUCCAUGUACAACGAUUCAUUAAGCAAUUAAAAUAGCAAUUGCUAAUAAGAGGCGCGGACAUGACCUCAAAAUAACAGAAUUAUCACAACAGACAACAAGUAAGGAUGGAAUAACACAAUUAAGUAAGUAAUGGACAUAGUAUGAAUAACUAAAUGAAUUCUACGAAAACAAUGUAACUAUAUUUCAUUUCCAUUAAUUGCAUAUAUAGAGGUAACCUUGAUCAGUAGUAUAUCUAUGCCCAUUAAUUAGUAUAUCUAUAAAAAAAAAUAGUAGAUCAUGACAAAAGCUACUUCAGAGAGUUAAACAAAAAAUUAAAAAAGUAAUUUUUUUUUGCGCCUGAACUGGAAUUCUUGGCCAAACGAUUCCGGGAAUAAUUAACCGAAAUACUUUGAACGCGUUUUCCGGAAACUACCGGAACACUUCACACAUGGUUUCCGGAAAUCAACCGGAACACUUUGGUUAACACGAUUCCUCGGACGAUUCCAUGAAAGGACGACGGCAAUAUUUCCAGAAAACGGUUUCGUGGAAGGAUUUAUAACACUAACCCAGAAAAUUUUGAAAAACCUAACCGUGAACGAUUCGUGAAUGAUUCCAGAAAAUAAUUCAGAACAAACACAUGGAAUUAGUGGAUGAGACAGAACACAGAAUCAGAAUAAAUGAUGCUUACUUGUUUGUUGGAAGAAGAAUCAGAAGAGGGUUUUCCAGAAAAGGGGAUUGAACGUUGAAGGAGAAGGGUUUAGAGUGUGUGGGGGUGAAAAGUGAAGGGUAAUUUUGGUAGUUUGUGUUAAAUGUUGGGGUAUAGGUAUAAAUGUAGGGGUGUAGGGUAUAACGUCCCUACGUUAACUCAUGUUGAAAAAAUCGAACGUGAGUUAACUCACGUUGGGCAUAAUUAAGGGAAUGAGCAAUUUAUUGCUUUUUUCAAAUAAAAAGUUGCUUAAAAACACAUGAAAAUGACACAAACCGCUGUAGUUAUCUAAGCUUAGGGUUUUUGGUCAUUUUCAUGUGUUUUUAAGCAACUUCUUAUGUGAUUUUUUUUUUUUUUUUAAUGUUUGUAACAGCUAAGUUUAUCAACUAUUAGUCAGCUUAUAGUUUCUUAUAAUAAUAUGAGAUUUCUUUUUGGGCGAGCGUGUUUAGUUUUUUUUUAAUAAAAAUAGAUAAAUAAAAUAACUUUAAUCAUUUAAUAGUGUUUGUUUAGGUUUUUAUUUUAAAUAUUAUUGUUUUACUCUAAAAUGAAAAGCUAUUAGAAUUAACUAUCUUUAAAAAUUUUUUUUUUUUUUCAAAAAUAUAGAGGUAACACAUGAACAAGUUUUUCUAAAAAAAAAAACAAUUAUUUUUAUAGAAGUAAACAAACAGAAAUAAUUUCAGAUUUUUUAAAGAAACCUCUAAAAAGAUCUCUAGAUUUUUAUAAUACAAAAUCUUUUUUCUUUUUAAGUUGAAACAAAACACCCUUAAUCUCUUUUAUUUGAUUUACCCUAGUUACAUCGCAUAAACCUUGAAUUUCACCAUUUCUAGAAAGAAAAAAAAAGGGUUAAAUAUGUUUUUGGUCUCUAUAAAUAUACCAACUUUUCGUUUUAGUCCCUCUAAAAUUUUCCUUCAACUUUUAGUCCCUAAAAAAUUUUCAAUUACUACUUUUGGUCCCUAUUUUUAAUUUAAUUUUUGUAUUUUUUAAUAAAAUUGUACAGAAAUGUGUAAAAUAUUCUAAAAAAAAUAAAGAAAUUAGAAUUUUUUAACAAAACACAAAUUAAAUAUGAAUUUUUAACUGUAAAAAAUAUAAAAAUUCAUAUUAAAUUCAUGAUUUGUUAAAAAAUUCUAAAUUUUUUUUGAAGUGAUUCUUAUAAUAUUUUGAAUUUUUAUGGAAAAUUUUAUUAAAAAAUAUGAAUUCUAGAUAUGAGUUUACUUUAAAAAGAGACCAAAAGUGAAAAUUGAAAAUUUUAUAGGAACUAAAAGUUGAAGGAAAAUUUUAGAGGGACUAAAUGAAAAGUUGACAUAUUUAUAGGGACUAAAAAUAUAUUUAACCCAAAAAAAAAAUACCCUUAAUUUGUUUUCAAAUUUUAACGUGACCACUGCAGCAACUAUAGACAAGGGAAAAUAUGGCGAUACACGCAGACUCCAUCGGUAAGAAACCUAGGUGUUUCUAGAAAGUUUAGUGGAAUAAUGAUAGUCAUAGUUGAGUCUCAUUGUUUACAAAUGCCAUUUGUAAAUUUUAUUUUGAAGGUGAGAAAAACACAAGAAGGGGGUUGAAGUGUGUUAACUUUUUCUUUUCUUUCUCUAUCUGAAACAAGCAGGUCAGAAGCAGGUAGAAUUCUACUUCUGAAGAGAUGUUCAGAACUAAAUGCAGCGGAUACGAAUAGAGAGAAAGAGAGAAAAAAGACACAGACAAUUUAUACAGGUUCCUUCCACAAACUGGAAGUCAGUCAUGUCCCCCUUGCACUUCCAAGGGGAGUUCACUAUGUAAUAUCUGAUUACAAAUGCUCACUACUAAACUUAGUAUGAGACUUCAAAUUGCUCAAGCACAACUGCAAGAGACUUCCUAUGCUCCUGAACACAAUCAAGAGACUUCUAUUGCUCAAGCACAACUGCAAGAGACUUCUAAAUUCAAACAGAAUUACAAUGAAAAAUGUUUGAGGUUGAACACUUGAUAUACAAUCAAUGGUGUUCACAAUACAAAUCACAGACUCUAGAAUUCCUAAGAUAUAAGCUUUGUUAUGAAAUUCUAAGUGAACUUUGAAGUGAAGAGCAAUUUCAACAGAGUUUUAGCUUAACUGAUGCGUAGUAUUGUUCUUUAGUAACUCUGAGUCUUCACUCCUUUAUAUAGAGUUGUGAAAGAGACGUUGAAAUGUCUUCUUAUUCAAAAUAGAGUCGUUUGAAGCUCUUGAUCUAUCACCAAUGAUCUUUUGCCUGAUAUGGUUAUUGUCCUAUGAAGGAUCAAUUUCAAAUGUGUUCCCAAUGUGAAUAAACAUUGUUGCAGGCAGAGCUGUUAUCCUUGUCUUGUAGCAGAGACAAACUCAUAAUAGUGGAGGUAGUGGUUGUACACUUCGUACAAACGUACUAUGUCAACGCUCUUUGAAGAAAAAGCAUCCAAUGCAUUUCAAAAUAGUCGUGCCACAAUUUUCCAGUCUUCUGCAAUCUUUAGGCGAGUUAGAGUCCUUGAAACAGCUUUUGAAAAUUUAAGUUCAAUCUUCUGAUGAACUGCAGCUUCUGGUGAUACACAGCUUCUGAUGAACUUGCUUCUGAUGACGUCAUCACUUCAGAAGCACUUUGUCUUUAGGCGCACUUCAAACUUCAGGAGCAGUUUUCUUCAGACGCUCGAAGCUUCUCUUUUUGUUGAUAUACUUGCUCUUUAUUUGUUCUUUGAAGACCAAUUUAAUAUGACAAUUUUUUUUCUAUAGUCCUGUACACUUGAACAAAUAUUAGCGUAUCCAAUUGACAAUUUUUAAUACUUUAUUAUCAUCAAAACUCUCAAGGGUUAUUAUUGCUAAACAAAUUUUAUUCCAACACAUUUUACAUACAUAAUCAAUCAAACAAUAUGUUACUCGCAUUUCUUUUUACUUUAUAUUUAGUUAUGUUUUUAUUAGCUUAGUUCUCAAAAAUCACAACGGAAGAACGUAGUUUCUUUCUACUUUAUACUUACACUCUUUAAAGAAUGGAAGAACAUCGUUUCUUUCUUGGCAUAAUCGUUUGGAGGAAAAGAGAAUCAUUGUUGAGAUCUAUUAGCCAGUUCAUCAGCUAAUUUGGCAACAAUUUGUAAUAAUAAAAUUGUUGUAUUAAUAAAAACAAAGCAAGGUGAGGACUAAAAAUUACCAAAUAACUGUGUGAAUAUUGGUAAUAAGAUAGGAAAUAAGAGAAGGAGUGAUAAAGAAAGGGGUAAGGGCUACAAGGGUCAGUGGCCCCAAACCAUCAUCUACGAAGGACACAGUAGCCUGUGCAAUAGCAGCAUGUACAAUAGUGACAUAUUUUACCCUCCAAUUCAUCACUCUUUGCUAGCAAGAAAACUUUUAAAUUUUACCACACAUAAUUAAUUUUCCAAUACAAAUUAAAUGAAAGAAAACACACAUAGAAAGAGAUAUUGUUAUAUAUGCAUACGGGUGGACAAGCAUGCAUGUAAAGUAGCAAAAUAAAUUAUUUAAAUAUUCAUAUGACACAAAAUGAUUGAGGAAUAUAACAAGAGAGGGUAGCUAAAUUUUACACACAAGAAAACAAUAGCCAGAAGAUAAAUAGCUAGGUAUAUUGUUUUCUUCUCCUCGUCUCUUCAUUACUCUUGUCUCCUUAGAUCCUUUCCUCUUGCAACCUUUUUGCUCUCAAUCUGUGAGUUUUUUUUUCUACUUUUUCUUCUGACAUGAAAAAAACAACCACAAAAAAAUCAAAUAUAUAUAUAUUUCAGCUCUUUCUAGCUUCUUUAAAUUAUUUUGUUAUAUAGUUUCUUUAAUUUAACUGAUCUCUUUUUUGUUAUCCUUGUUCCAUGAGAGAAGGAAACAUGUUAAUGAAAUUUUUCUUUUAGAAGAAGAAUUAAACAUUUGAUUAUUAAGUUUUUGUUUAAAAAUUUCAGAUUGCAAAAUAUAUAAUUAUGGCGGCUGCUUCUUCAUCUACAUCAUUCUUUGGAAUCAGAGAAGAAAAUCAAAGUCAAAUAACACAUCAUCAUCCUCAUCCUCAAUCAACUACUACUUCUGCUACUUCCUCAGCUCCUUCAACCACAGUUCCUCAAAAGAAAAGAAGGAAUCAACCUGGAACACCAAGCAAGUAGCUUAAUUAUUUUUAUUUUCAUUAUUACUUAAAGCUUCAACAUGCACACACCCUUCUCGAAUUUUUUUUUUUUUUUUUUUUUGUAUUAUUUUCUCAAAAAACAAGCAUAAUGAAACCCUAAAUCAUGAACAUGAGUUAGGGCUCUGAAUUUCUUUUACAAAAAAGCUAUAUAAGAACUAUGUUUAGGGUGCAUGCAGUCUCCUCCAAUUUUAUUCUCAAAAGCAUAUGAGACUUCGGUUUUAAUUUUUGUAAUAAUUUUUCUAACUUCUACUGUUUUUUACUACUAUUACCAUGAGUUUGUGGCUUUUAAAUGGAAAAAAUAACAAUAAAACAUAGUUCUUCAUUUCAUGGUGCAUAUAUAUUCAAUUAUGAAUACUUCUUUUGAUGUUAAAAAAACUAGAAUUUUAUAAUAUUUUUCUUAUACAAAAAAAUAUAUAAUAUUUUGUUGUUUUGGCAUUUUUCAUGGUAAAAAGAUCCAGAUGCAGAAGUGAUAGCACUAUCUCCCAAGACUCUAAUGGCAACAAAUAGAUUUAUAUGUGAGGUUUGCAAUAAAGGGUUUCAAAGGGAGCAAAAUCUUCAACUUCAUAGAAGAGGACACAAUCUUCCUUGGAAGCUAAAGCAAAAGUCCAACAAAGAGCCAAGGAGAAAGGUUUAUUUGUGUCCUGAGCCCACAUGCGUCCAUCACGACCCUUCAAGAGCUUUAGGAGAUCUAACUGGAAUUAAAAAGCAUUUCUCUCGUAAGCACGGUGAGAAGAAGUGGAAAUGUGAAAAAUGCUCAAAGAAAUAUGCUGUUCAAUCUGACUGGAAAGCACAUUCUAAGACUUGUGGUACUAGAGAAUAUAGAUGUGAUUGUGGCACCCUCUUCUCUAGGUAACAAACAUCAUCUUUAUAUUUAUAUCUUCACAUCGAUGUUAGUCUAAUUAUAUUUCAUAAAUAUGAAUUCAUCACUCUAUAUACAUAAUAUAUGCUACACUUUUGCCAAAUGUUAGGGUUAUACUUAUAUGGUUUGGUAUUGAAUAUUAUUUUAUUUUAUAGAAGUUAGUGUUUGAUUAUUUUUUUACUACCAAUUUUAUUAUAAGAAUUCGAUUAUUUUAAUCAUGUUUUUUUUCAUCAUUCAAUUGCAAGGAAAAUGGUCAUAAGUCAUAACAAUCUGAAGUUUUGCAAGAAAGCAAGUAAAAUCCAACCAAACCGUAGAUCAAACUCAUAGACUCCUUAUAUAUCGUUCUCUUUCUUUCCUCUUCGUAUUGAGCUCUAAUUUAUCUAAAUUGAAGUACUCUUUAAACUUCUUUACUAAGGAACCUUUUACAUAUAAAAAGGUGUGUGUAUAUAUAUAAAUAUAAUAAGUUGAAUUUUUUUACAAUAAGUAAAAACACACAAAGGUUAAAUUUGAACAACAGUCUCUUUUAUGUUCUUAUCCCAAAAAAAAGUGAACAAGAGCUUUCACCCUUUCUCUGUUAGUUUGUGUUUGGGUGUUAGUGAAGGUGUAUAUUGUAUGGCGCAGGAGACUGCAUGCACGUGAGUACACUGUUCAAAUGUAGUACAAAAAUUGAAAUGUUUGAAGGAAAAAAAAUCAACUUUGGUUUUAGGGAACCGUGCCCAUAAUCUUUUAACGUUCACGUGUAGUGAAACAACAUAAUAACUUUGUUCUCAUAUGAAAUGGAUUGGAGGAGAUGCUGGGUUUUGUUCUCUUUCUUGUUAGCUAUUUCUAGUUUUCAAAAUUCAAAUACAUUUCCAUGUUCUUUUUAGCAAUGGGUCCAAGGUGACUAAUUUCCAUGUUACUAACAGAAAAUUCUCUUCAUUAAUUGGUCAUGUUUCUCAUAUAGAUUUGCUAGAAAUUAUGUGAUAUAACGAAUUAUCUUGGUAGAAUAUAGACAAGUAUUGAGGUUGCUUGCAUUUAUUAAGUAGGCCCCAUAUUGAAAUUUUUGAGUAUUGACUUUCAUCAUAGUUGCAAACAAUUCUCUCUUUUAUUGAUCAAAGAAAGACCUCAAAUUAGAAGUUUGAUUUAGAAAUUCUUGGUUUGUUUCAAAUUUUGGCAUAAUCCCAUGGGCCCUCUACUUCAAUUGUAGUUUUCUUAAUUUCAACAUACUAUACUAGUUUCAAUUAAUUCCAAUUAAAACAAUUAGGUUACUCAUAUUCAUUACACAAAUAUAUGGGAUUAUAAUAUGAACUUCCAAAGGCGAACAUAACUAUUUUUGGUAAAUUUUAAUACAAUAUUAGAUAUGUUCUCCUUUUUACUAUAUAUGGUAGGGGUCUACAUUAUACCCACCCAAAAAAAUUGACAAUGAUAUAUAUAUGUUGCUUAAUUCUUUGUAAUUAAUUUUGGUGCAGGCGUGACAGUUUCAUCACUCAUAGGGCAUUUUGUGAUGCACUAGCACAAGAGAGUGUAUUAAGACACCAUAACCCUUUUGGGAGUACUCAUCAAUUGUAUGCCACAAACCAUCACAUUAGUUUAGGCCAAAUAUCCCAUCAAUUGCAAAAUCAUCAGAACCAAAUUACAUCAUCCACUAGCAACAAUAACAACCUUUUGCGCCUUGGAUCAGCACCACCAAAAUUUGAACAAAACUUAAUCUCAUCACCACCUUUAAAUCACUCUUCAUCAUUUGGACACUCAAUCCCAUCUUCAUCACCAUUCUUCAAUAUGAGUGAUAUUUCAAAUCAAUCCUUUGAAGAACAACAAUCUCAACAAGGACAAUUCUUAAACAAACAACUACAUGGUCUAAUGCAUCUUCCUGAUCUUCAAGGCAAUACAAAUACAAACAAUUCAAAUUCUUCCAAUCUUUUCAACCUUAUGGUUCAUGAUCAAUUCAACAACAUGAGUAGUACCCAAGGAACAACACUUUACAUUAACAACAAUAGCUCUUUAAGUGAUCAUCAAGUUGGUUUUGUCAAUUCAAUGCAACAUGGUCAAAACAUGUCUAGUCCUCACAUGUCUGCCACUGCAUUGCUUCAAAAAGCUUCUCAGAUUGGUUCAACUAAUUCUACCAACAAUAACAAAGGUAGUAAUAAUGAUCAUAAAUCAGGUGAUAGGGACUUUGUUGUGUCUGAUCACAACAACAUCAAUGCCACUUUUGGAAAUAGAAGUUCAAGUAUUGAAAAUGAUCAUGACAACAACGAUCUUCAUGGAUUGAUAAACUCUAUUGCAAAUGGAAACACAUCAUCCAUAUUUGGCAAUGAAAGCAAUCUUAAUAUGAGAUUUGGUGGAUCUGAUAAGUUAACUUUAGAUUUUCUUGGUGUUGGAGGAAUGGUCAGAAAUAUGAGUGGUGGAUUUUCACAAAGUGAACAACAACGUGACAUGAUGAAUACUAGUAUGGUUUCUUUGAAUCAUGACCUAAAAUCAGCACAUUCAAGUCAACAUUUUGGAAGCUCAAAUAUCUUGCAAUGAAGAUUGGGGUGAGAAAUUUAUUAAUUUAAGGAAAUAUUGCUUGUUAGUUACAUGUGAAUUAUUCAUUAAUUAAGUAGUAAACUUUGUUUCAAACAUUUAUUUAUUUUAUUUUUGUUUUCCUCAAAAGAAGUGCAGUUCAUUGGUAAAAUGAGGUUCCAAUUCUAGAAAUUACUACAAAUUACAAUCCCUUAUUUUAUUUUAACACGUCCCUUUCCUUAUUCUUUGCUCUCUAUGAUGUGAUAGAGAGAUGUAAUAAAUUCACUUUUGAAUUUCAUGUGUGAGCGAACAUGAGAUAAUAAAGUUUAUAGAAAAAAAAAAUUGAUUCAUUAUAGAUUUUCCUCUAAGAAAAUUAUUUCUCAAUCACAGAGGGUAAAAUUCCAUGCUCGAACCAAGAAAAAAUAUUCAACCUAACAAUUUCAGCAUUGUUAGUUGUGCUAGGUUUUACGGACCAGGACAUCAUCGUUGUCUACCAAUUUUUUUUUACAGAUUUGAGGCGAUUUAAUUUGGUUGAUAAACACGAGUAAAUUACUCAAAUGCCCCUUGGCAGUUAACUGCCGAAAUUUUAAAAAAUCGGCUGCAGUUAACUGUCGAGAAAUUUCAAACCUGAAAUUAAAUAAGGAAAUACACCUAUGUUUUCCUUAAUUAAAUUUAAAUCUUUAAUCCUUUUAAGGAAUUAAACAUAAUUAUUUUUAUGAUUUCAUUCAUAUGAUUUUGUUGCUAUAAAUGAAGAAAUAUGAGAGAUGAAUAAUAUCUGUAAUCGGUAGUUAAUAGACCUAAAAUGAUGAUUCAAUAAAAAAAAUGCAACAACAAAAACGUUACAAAUGAUAGAAUAAUUAUAUUUGUAAUUAUUAGUAAUUAAUUUCAUUGAUGUUGUUAUUAUUCAUAAGUUUGACUAACCUAUUAUUACUUUAUACUAAUAUUUUAGAUAUUAUUACUUUAAUUAACAUGAAAAACGCAACAACAAAAAAUAAGGGGGAUUUAUUGGAUUAAGAUUCUAUGGGAUUUUAAAAGAUUUUUUAAUUAUGAAAAAGUCUUGUGGUAUUCAAUCAAAACUUUUUGCAGCCGGUUCUUUAAAAUUUCAACAGUUAACUGUCGAAGGAUAUUUGAGUAAAUUACUCGUAUUUCUCAGUCAAACCAAAAGUGUGAACAGCAAUACUCAAUUUCAAAAACAUGUAUAUGCCACGGUAAAUAAAGCCAGUUGUUGACUUGUUGAUAGUUGUGUUGUUAUUACUUGUGUACAAAUGCUUACCAAACGAGGGUGGGAUGUUGGCACUCUGUUAUGUUAAGAAUCUUCACGUUUUGGCUAUAUUCCAAUGGAAGCGACAGAGCCUCAUUUCCGUUCAAUUUCAUCUUUGUUUUUUUAUAUACGACGUACAAAUACUAACUAACUAAAGGUACAUUAACUUUAAAAUAAAGCAAGAAAUUUUGUAGUAUUGCUUACCUAAUAUAUAUAUACCUUACUUUUAAAAAUACAUAUUAAAAUAUAUGUAAUAAAAAAUUAUAUUAAAUGCUAUAUAAAUGUUAAAUGUUAGAGUCUCACAUUGAAUAUGAGAAUAGUAUAACAAUAUGUUUACAAGUUAUUUAUAAUAGGUUCUUAAUAAUAAUACUAAAUAAAUAUCAAAACUUAUUUAUAUAGAAGUUAUUUUAGUAUUAUUAAGAGCCUAUACUUUUUUUUUGAGCAAAAGAGCCUAUACUUAAUUGAUAAGAAAUUGUUACCAAUAUACCAACUCCAUUAAGUACCAUAAAUUUGAGAAAGAGACCUUGCAUAUUUUUCAGGUGAUUUUGUUGACAUCUUUUUCUCUUAACACUAGGAAGGACCCUUUAGUUUUUCAUUGUAAUAUAAAUAUUCUUGUACAAGUUGACUACCUUUGAAUUUGCAUGUCGUCGUUGAUGGCUAUAUAUAGGGUUAGAUCUAACGUCAUUGUUCAUUUGGUGGAAGAUUUUUAUGAGGAGUGUGUGGUACAUAACAUAUGCAACAUAAAUAACAUAUUAGCAGUAGUCUCUGCAAUGUUCGUUAUUGUAAUUACUGGUAAAAUAGCUGCGACACUUUUGUCGCAUGUAAAUUCCUUCUUCACAUGGAAAUCACCCGUCCGUGAGUGAGUGAAUGAAUGAGUGACUAUUAACCAACCAACCCAGUCAUUUCAUUUCGCCUUCACUCUCUACCCGUUACAGUUUUUCUAACUUUCUUUCUUUAGAUUGAGUAACUUCAAUAAUGCAAUGCAACUAAAGAUUAUUACUUACAACUUCUAUGCUCAAAUAAUUGUUGCAAUGCAAUUAAACACUCACUCAUGCGUGUCCCCGUGAGCCUAAUCCAGUUUGUAGAGACAUUGCAUUAUAUAUAUAGAGGUUGGGGUUCAAACUCAAACACUCUACUUAUUCACCUUAAAAAAAAUGAAUUUAAGUCAAUUGGCUACCUGACUAAAAAAAAACGCACUCAUAUGUUUUAUUUCAUAAGCUGGUUUUAGACCUUUUUAUCUGAAAAACUUAUCUCACAUUGUAGUUGAUAUGUAUGGUUAGACCUUUUGUGAGGUUUGUGUGUCCCCUAGUCUAUCACUCUCUCACAGUUAAACUACUUUGUUUUUGAGAGGUUUGUAUACCUUACUUAAAAACAACUAUCAUUCUCUCAUCAAUUUCAUCAUUAAGCUAUUAAAAUUAACUAAAAAGUACCUAAACUAUUCUCACAUAUAACUAUUAGCCCCUUGGUUGACAAAGUUAAUUUUUUUUAUGAUGGUUUAUGGACUAAAUUGAUAUAUUUUUUAUAGUUUAAAGAUCUUCUAGUUGAUUUUAAUAACUCGAAGGCUAUAUAUGUGAAAAAAUUGAUAGUUUAAGGAACAAGUUGAUUGUUUAUUCUUAAUUUGAUUGAAGUCUACUGGCACACAAAUUUACAAGGAUACGGUGGAUAUGGGGAAGUUAUACCUGAUAUCCCUACAUUUAAUCUUUUACCCCCUACAAAUUGUUGAAAAUGCCAAAUUUACCUUUUAUCAUUUCACUUCACCCUGCAUAAAAUUUUAGCCAACAAUACACUUCCGAGAUUUAAUACUCCAAUUUUCGGAAUAUUCAUAUCAAAUUUUUAUGGUAGAUUAAUUUGUAAACCGGAACAAUUGAGUAAAGAAUUAUUAUCAGAAUUCUUUCUUCUUUCAUCGAGGUUUGAGAGACAAUGAAAGAUGGAAAAUAGAAUACAACAACCUGUAUUAGUUAAUAUAAAAUUAAGUGCAAAGCAAAGAUCAUGAUACCAAACCUCAUCAAUUCUUCUUCCAAUUCAUUUUAUUUAGAUCUAAAAAAAUGAAAGGCCGUAUAUUUCUGGAGUAGAAUUUUAGAUGUAAGGUUGGGAAAUCAAAAAACCUGGCUAAAACUGCAGAAACCUGUUUUCUGAAUUCUUUCUAAAAAAACAGUGUAAAAAAAUGCUUGUCUCUUUAUCUGUAGAUCUAAAAAAAAAUCAUUUCUAAUUCAUCUUGUUUGGAAAUAUGAAUACGAAAAGUUGUAUAUUUUAAUUUUUUUUAUUUUUACAAAAUACCGUUGUUGGGAAUGUGAAUAAUCUAAGAUUAAAUGUAGGGGUGGUAAAAGAUUAAAUGUAGGGGUAUAUGGUAUAAUAUCCUGGAUAUGGUAGGCUUAUAUUACUUAGAACCCAAAUCAUGUUACUUAGGCCCGUCAUCAUGGACUUUUUUCAUGUGGUUUCCAUGCAGGCUAGUUGAAUAUUGCUCUUUAGGCAUCCAUGUUUUGCUCUCAGACAUUUUGAAAUUAUUAUUUUACCUCAAUGAAAAUUAAUUACCAUUUGUUGAUGAACGAUGGUUAGUUUUCAUUCUCUUAUGAACAGUAGUUAAUUGUCGUUCUAGGGCAUUUUAUGUGGUUCAGAUUGCGCAGACAGUUUUUGUGGUCCACGAUACAUAAAAACUUCUAUAAAUUGGUGUGUUUGGUUCAUUUGAAACCACACCACAAAAUCAUGAAUAUUUAUCUAGUAGAUCCGAACACCAAAUUAGCGCAGUUAACUACAACGGGGAAAACUCAAUAUGUUUAGGGUUCAGGUUAAUGCUAUAUCGGUUGACUUGAAGGAACAUAGUUGGACCAAAUUAACAGUCGACUCAACCACAAAGACACAAGAAAGGUGGAAAGUGUUGAGUAUCGUCAUCCAUUCGUUUGACUCAUAUGAAAGCGUCAAGUUCACCCAUAUGAAGUUCAAGAACAACGACAUCGUGAGAACCAUCAAGUUAGACGCUUCAUUGGUCAAAUAUUUUUUAGAUGUUCCGGAAAGUUUGAUUCAGAUUAGGACCUUCAAAGAAAACAGGACUUGCAUGGAUAGACCAAAAGAAAUAAGUAUGUCUUAUUCGUGAUUUUGUAUGUGUUUUAUUAUGUUGUUAAAUUAUGUUAGUGUAUUGUGUUUUAUUAUGUUUAAUGUAUGUUUUUGUUAACUUAUGUCAUUGAAAUUAUGUUAAUGUAUUGUAUUUUAUUAUGUUUAAUGUAUGUUCUUCUGAGCUUUCCUUUGUAACUAAUGAUUAACUACAGUUUCUUCUGAAAACAACAAUUAACUAUUGUUCCUAGAAUGGGAGUUAACUCUUGUUUAACAACGAAAAAUAAUUAAUUAUUAUUUCGGAUAAAAUAGUCAAUUUGAGACGUGUUAAAACAAAGUAUGAGUGUCUAACGAACAAUUUUCAAGAUAGUUUAGUCCUUUUUGGGUUCUACCUUUUUUUUUUAUGAGUAACUUCUACACCUAGUUUCCAUUCUUUUUUGUGUUAAUUGUCCGAUUUCUUAGCAUGUGCGUAACUCACGCAGCGUGACUUAAGUCACACAUGUGUAAAAACUAAGUCAUGUAUUUUUUACACUUGCGCUAAUUAACUAACGCAAGGGUAUUUUCGGCAACACUGCAGGGCGCGAGUGUUUUGUGUUGGGUGAAGAGCAGAAUUCUAAAGUCAUAUAUAUAUAUUAUGGUUUUAAAAGGGUAAUUGCUAAAUCAGAUUCAUAGGAAGCAACUAAGUUAAUAUUGAAAGGGCAUGGUAAAGGGCACCCUUGUUCUCAUAUCAUUUCUCAUAUUUCUAAUUUUCUUGUCUAAUUCAUGAGUUACAAGUUUCAACGUGUCUAACGUGAAGCCAACAAAGUCGUGAAUGCUUUUGCAAGGAAUAUCCAACUUCAAAGUAUUAGCGCAGCUUUAACUUGAUGAACAAACUUAGAGUUUUCUAGGGUUUUAAUUUGAUUUUGUUGAAAUAGAGAGAGAAUGAGAAGAAUGGGUGAAUGAGGAGACAAGAAGUAUUAAAGUUGUGAUUUCAUUUAUAUGUAAAAAUACACAUGAAAGUAGCUUAUAUACAUGGUUUUUUGCUAGGUUACUUGAAGUACAAGUCAUAUAACAAACCCUAAAUACCUUAAGCUAAAAUCUAGUAAAUUUGUAACAAACUAUUAACAAACUAAACUAACUAGAUUUCUAAUGUGAUUAACCAAACAAGCUUGAUUAGAUCACUAACAAACUUGAAUUAUCAACUAACACAAAGUUGCGAUAAUAUAAAAAUAAUAUCAGAACUAGUCUCUCUUCAAAUGAAUGAUGCAUCACAACUUAUCUUUCUCCUUUGAUGGAAAAAUUUGUUCUAAUACCAAUUAUUGAAGGAAAAAAAUCAAUAAAAAAUCUUUAAACAAGCGGGAACACAACCACAAAAUAAGUAAAAGAGAUAAAAACAAAUCACAAGCCUAUUUUUCGAUACUUCACAGUUCACACCUUCAUUCAUAAUAUCUUAACAAAAUAUUUGUUACAAAAAUAUGCAUAGUUUUACUAGGAAUUGCAAACCCUCUUGUACAAUUAUAAUUUUUGCACAGAAAUAUUGCAAACUAAUCUUUCUCAAUUACAAUUUUUGUAAGAAAAACUACAAACUCUUUCAUGACACACAACUACCCAACCUCUUUUUUUUUUUUUUUUUUUUUCAUUACUCGAUGUGCGAUGUGAAAGAAUAUCAAUUUUAGAGAACAAAUGGCUAUAAUUUAUAGGUGGCCUUUAUGAUUUUUGGCACAAAUUUUCAUACUGUGAAAUGUGAAUAGAUGCAUGUGCAGAGAUGGAGUUCAUAAUUUAAAUCUUACGUUAAAAAUAAAACAAGUUUUUAAUGUUAUAGUUUAAAAAUAAAAAAUUGUUUCUUAUAUACAAUAUUUUUAUGAAUAUUUACAUAGUUCUUAAAAAAAUUAAUAAUGAAUGGUAUAUUCGUGUCCUGUAUGACACAAUGAAACAUAUGCACAUGAUUAAAUUAUACAUUAAGCCUAAUCAUAUGAUCUGAAAAGAUUUUCUCUACAUUUCGUCGAGCUAGCAAGGUAGAUAGAUGUCAACUAAUAAGUUGAUGAAAUCGGCUAAAAAAGAUUCCCAGUUGAAGUUUAUUAUUUUUUUGGUGCAACCCAGUUGAAGAUUUUAUUAACUUUGAUGAUGGCUCUGAACUACCAAGUUUUCUAGAACUUGAACAAGUCCUUAAUUUUAGUUGAAUUGCAAUACUAUGUCUAUAUGUAUAGUAUACCGUUUCUGGUUUCAUAGUCUGUUAAUUUUAAGGAAUUUUUUCAAGUGGCUCAAAAAAAACAUAUACAGUACAUUCUUUAGUUUUAUUUACAUCGUUUUCAAUCUCUUUCGCUUUUUUAAAUAUUUACGCAGAAAACAUUUUUUUUUUUUUUUCAAUCAGAAAGAGGCAAAAUUAAGAUUUGCAUUGGUUUUAGUCAUCACCUACUACAUUAAAUUACUAUUUGUGGAAAAUAUUGUUUAUAGCGUGAAACUGUGCUCUGACUGGCUCACAUGCAAACGGACAGUGGCAAUAUUGUUUAAGGAAGUAUUAAUCUUUUUUUUUUUUUUUUUUUUGACAGAAACCAUAUAGUAUUAAUCUAUUAUUACUACUAUAUAUGCAUAAAAAAGGACCAAUUAACCGACAUGCUUUGAGUUAUUUUGUGUUUUUUUUUUUUAUUGUUUCUGAAAAAAUCAACCAACAUGCUUCUUUUUUUGCGCUAACUAAAACUAAUUUAUUUAUGCUACUAAUCAAUUUAUUAAGACUAAAACUUGAGUACAAGUUAGUCUUUUUUUUUGUAGUUGGUGACCUACAAGUGGUACUCUUGUACUCAUUAUACUCAAAGUCAAGGGUACAUGCGUAUGUGUUAUGCUGAAUUCGAAAAUUCAUAGUCAAGACCCAGCAAUAUCAAGAUAUAUACACACAUGUCCUAAAGUGCAUUCUGGAGAAUAAGAACUACAAGUCUAAAGUUUUUCUUUUUGUUAGUAAAGUUAUUUUAGUCCAAGUUUAGACUAUACAACGCUGACUAUGAAAUAUGAAAGGAAAAAAAAACCUUCAAUUUUUGUCAAAAAAAUAAAUUCCAUUGUCUCUAACUAAUUAUUGAAAUUUUAAACAUGUGUUUGGUCUAACGGUAUGGUAGAAAAAAUCACGGCAAAAAUUCACGGUAACUACAAAAUCUAAAAAUUUGUAAUUUCUUUGAAAUUUGAGUUUGUAACUUCGAACGUCAAAUAAUCGUUCAUUAAGUCUCUAAAGCUCACAUGAUCAGACCAGCUUUGAUUGCAAAAUAUGACCAACUAAUUACUAAUAAACAUUUAAUUUUGUUAGCAGAUCAAUUUAUCUGUUUAAUGUUAAAAUAAAUCUGAUCCAAUUCAAUACUUUUGGACAUAGAUUGAAAUGGUUUCCCCCCCCCCCCCCCCCCCUUUUUUUUUUUUUUUUUUGUAAACUAGGUAUCCUCCGCGCGCAACUGCGGAGACUAAUCCCUCGAGCAUUGUGAGACCCAAAUGGACGGCAGACUCUCCCUAAGAGUUUUAACGCUGCUGGAGGUAUUGUAAAUAAUAUUUUGUGUUAUAUUAUUUUUAAGAGUGUAUAUUUCUAUAUAAAAAGAGUGAGUUUUGCCUUCAACCUCGAGGUAAUCGGUUUGAGACCUAGGCACUGAGAACAUGAGUUUUUUCGAUUAGCUCUUUAAAAAAUUAUUUAUAGGAGGAAUAAUUGUUUUUAUGGAAUUUGUCGUGUAAUAAAAAUCUAAAUCGUCUAGUCUACAAUUUUGUAUAGUCUUCAAUUAUGUUGUGAAUUCGGGCUUUGAAACUUCACACCAAUCCAAACUAUGAUGUGUGGAGAAAGUAUCAAUGGCAACCAACAACCAAAUUAACCAUAAGCAAUAACAAUAAUAUAUACCAAGUCUAUAAACCAAGUGCAUAGCAAAAUCACAAUCCAACCAAAUAAUAAACAAGAUAAAAGAGUAAAGAAAAAUAGACAACAACACCAAGAGAUUGUUCACCCAGUUCGGUCCAACCAUGACCUACUCUGGAGGAGAGAUUGAUCUCUUCAAUCCACUAUCAAUGAGUUCUUACAAAGAGAUACAAAUGAGUUACAAGAAAUUAGCUUCAACAAGCUCACAAAAAACAACCCUAAUUUCUACCAAUUUUCCCAAUCUCACCAAUGAACAAGACACUCAUGAUUUUUACUCUCCCAAGGUGUUUACAAUUGUUUCACAACUCUAGAAUCUAACCCCCAAAAGAGAACCAACUCUUAGCCUUUGAUUUCACUUAGGAUCUUCUCUUUUGGUUUCACAAGACUCACCCAAGUUGCUCGCAAAUGACUCUCCACUCAUGUGUUUCCCAACCCCAUGAAUCUUCUCCAAAAGGCACCAACCCUUUUCACAAGAGCCCCCUCUUUUGGUUCUCCAAGAUUCACAUCUUGAAGCUUUGAACCUCACCCAAAGACCCUCAACCUUUAGUAUCUAAAACCCUAAAAGUUUCAUCCUUUGGUUGUUAUGGGAUUCACCAAGCUUACCCAACAAAUGGAUCAGGGAGUGUUUAAAACAUGUUUCAGAUCUGUCAAAAUCGUGUCACAUUUUGCCUUCAGAACCAAACAUGCAUUCGGCAUCAGAAAUCGUGACACGGUUGCCAAAUCGUGUCAUGAUUCUUCACUUUCAUAAAGACUUAAUUUUGAGUCAUAUAUAUACCAACAAAUUCAAAUUAUAUAAAUGGACGGUAUAUUCUUUAGUAAAAGUAUUAUUUCACAAUUUAAUACGUAUUAUUAAAAGAAAUUAGAAACAAUUAUCAAAAAAUUAUGAUAGAUAAUAUAUUAAACUCGUCUAGUGUGUGUGUAUUUUUGAAGGAUAGUGUGUGUGUGUAUUAACAUCAUUCUCUAAUUAUUUUUGUAGGGAAACAAUGUUGGUUAAAUUGAUGUGUACUUUUUUUUGUAAAAAAUAAUCGACGUAUUUUUAAAUGAGAUUUACAUGUAGAGAGAGACAGCGGUAGACAUAGUAGUAGAACAAUUAAAAUUUAAAAGACCACUUUACAAAUUGCACCAAGUGGUCCUCUAAAAAAGAUCACCGACAGUUGCUUCACUUUACCUUCAUAUAUUUUAGAGCAAUGAUAUUUGAACAAUUAUUUAGUACAACAUUUUUUGACAAUCUUCUUUUUCUCUCUUUUUAUUGGUCAAAAAUAAUGAAGAGAAAAAAGAAGAGAUAGAGUAAAAAUAUAAUAUGAAUAUGAGAAAAAAAAUUGUCUAAAAAUUAUCACAAAAUGGUUGUACAAAUAUUAUUUCUCCAUAUUUUAGACACAGGCUAAUCAUUAAUUAAUUUGUGUAAAAAAAAACAAUAAUAUUAUUUUGACAACAUUAUUCAACACCUUAUCUUUCUUUCAAAAAACAUUAUUCAACACCUUAUGUUCAUAUUAUCAUUUGAUUUUCUUAAUUAUGUUUUACAUCAGUCACAUCAAGUGACAUUUUACACGCUUAUCAAUUUUUUUUGUCAAGUAGCCUAGUGUUUAGAACUCAUAUAAUUUAAUUGUGAAGAAAUGAAGUGUCAGAGAUUCGAACUCCAACCCCUGCAUAUAAUAUGCAAUAUCCCUACCAACUGAACUAAGCUCACGAAGAUCGCGGUUAUCAAUUUUUGUAGUUCAAAUAACAUCACUAAAAAAAGCUACGAGGCAGACGCACAAAUUUUCAUUGAGCAGUUGUGUUAAUUAAUUUUAUAACGCAAGGAAAAUGGUGAAGUUUUUGUGAAUAGAGAAAUGAUAUAUAUACAAUCAUUUUCAAACAACUUUUGUAAUAACUUUAUCUCUCAUUUUUAUAUUUUAUUUUUAUUUUUUUCUCUAUUAUUUUGGUUUUCGUUUAUGAUUUUUUGUAAGAAAAUGAUUGUCUAUGUAGUUAUCAAUCACAUUGAUGUUCAAAUAACAUUGCUUUUGUGAAUAAUGCAAAAUAGUUUCUCGGAACAAUCAAUUAUUCAAUUGAUAUUUACGAAAUUAGUUUUUGUAGGGUGUCCCUAUAAAUCACAUAUACUUUAAAACAGUCAUAUGUAUUCACGAUUCGAGAUCUUAUAAAAAAACCAUUCCAGAUCAUGUAUGAAAAUGAAAUAUAUAUUUUUUUUGACUGGUGUAUGAAAAUGAAAUAUUUUCAAAAAUAAAAUAUACUCUCUGCCCAUAUAAUGUCAGCGUAGGUGUCGGUGUUUUUCUACCGACUAUAAGAAAAACUGUAAAAUAAAUAAAACAAUAUAGUAAUUUAAAUUAGUGAUUGUAAAUUAUUGUCUUAAAUGUAUAGUUCAAUAUAAUAGAUUAAAAAUGAUGAAAAAAAUAUUAAUUUAAGAGUAGAAUUGAAAUAACAUAUAUGUUUUCGAUAGUUUAACUAAAUUGAUAAAGACAUUGCAUAAUAAUAUACAAGUGUUUUGAAAUUCCAUUUAUUCAUUACAUGUGAAUUUUUAGAUAUUAAACUAUUUGGAAAAUAAAAUAAAAUAUCAAAUAAUUAAGGUUUAAAUAUGUAAGUAGUCCCUGUAAUUUCGCGUAUUUUUGUUUUCGUUCCUGUAAGUUAUUUUGUUCUAAAACAAACUCUGUAUUUUGCUAACCUUUUGGAAAAGGUCCUUGCCGUCAGCUUCCGUCAACAAAAACGCCAUGGUGGCUAACGGAGCACACGUGGCAGUUCAUGAGUUGGCAAAGUUGAUGAGAUGGAAUGAGAGAUGAUAAGUUGUUAAAAUACAGGGACUAAAAUCAAAAACGUAAAUUGACACAGGGAUGAAAUUAAAAAAACGUUUAAUCUUCUUUUUCCUCUCAAAUUUCAGUCUUCUUCUUCCUCUCAAACUUUCCCCAAUCUAUCCCAUACCUUGCGCCCUUGAACCAAAACUCAUAUCCUUCAACAAUUUAUUCUAAUUCCAUUACUCAAUCAUAUUGUGUGUUUUGAUUGUAAUGUUAAGUUGAAACAUUGUAUGCUACUUAAGUUUGAUUAAUUUAGUGAUGGUUGUUGCGAUUGAUUGCAAAUUCAUUCAUAAAGUUUGUAGAUAAUAAAGGCAAGAAUACAUCUUUUUCAUCCCUCUUUUUUUUCCACAAUUCCCUCUUAUUCUUCCAGAUUGCUACAAUUACCAUACAUAAAUAGUCAGAUCCCCUUUCAUCUUUUCUCACUCACAUUCAAAUUCAAACUCUAAUUUCUCAAAUUUUUGCUUUUGAAUUGUGUAAUUUUGUGUUUUUAUGUAAUUGGUGUAGAGAGUUUAUGUUGUUUUAAUGUGUUGAUUAAGAGUGGGUCUUGUUGUUGUUGAUUGAUGAUUAUUAGUUUUGUUUAAAAAAAUAUAUAUGUUUGUUGUUUUCUUUCUUUUCCUGGGUUUGGUGUUGAUGAUUUAUGAAUAUGGUGAUGAAGAUGAAGAAGACAAUGAAGGAAGAAGAAGAAUAAGAUCUUGAUUUUAAAUUUGAAAUUUUGAUUUUACGUUUUUUAUUUUAGUCCCUGUGGUAAUUUACGCUUUUGAUUUUAGUCCCUGACUUUACACAACUAAUCAUCUCUCAUGCCAUCUCAUCAAAUGUGCCAAGUCAUGACCUGCCACCUGUGCUCCGUUAGCCACAAUGGCGUUUUUGUUGACAGAAGCUGAUGGUAAGGACCAUUUUCAAAAGGUCAAAAAGAUACAAGGUUUAUUUUAUAUAAAAAAAAAAACUUACAAGGACGAAAACAAAAAAUACGCGAACUUAGAGGAACCUUUUACAUAUUUAAGCCAAUAACUAAUAGCACUUAUUUUGGUACAUUUCUCUUUUGCAAAUGUGAAACUUAAUAUUGGAUGGGGUCAAUAAUUUUGAGAAUGAAUAAACCCAUUAUUUAGUCUUUUAAUUUUUUUUUUCCAUCCAUCAGGUUUCUAAACUAUUUACAAACACUAAAUGUCCUUAAGACAUAGCUCAAGUAACAAUAUUGAUAUUGAGAAGUUGGAUAUUUUCAUCCGAGUUUGAACUCGAAUUCUUGCAAUUACGAGUGUGAAUUUCAGGUAAUUUAUAUCAAUUUAUCUGUAAACAAAAGGAGAUAUAUACGCGUAACAAAUAGGUCUAAUGCAAAUUAACAACUUAUUUUUAGUUUAUAAAAUAUAUGAAAUUUAAUCCUUUAGUCCCUAGUAUAUUUUAACAAUGGGCACUAAAGCAACAUAUAUUUCAUAUAUUUUAAAUACUACUACAUCUUUCCUUAUGUAUAAGCUCAUUUGACAUUUUCACAUAUAUUAAAAAAGUUAGUAGUGUCUUGACAAAAAAGAAGCUCCUUAGAGUUUCCUUAUGUAUAUUUUUUUAAACCGAAAAAAUUGUGUACAAAAAAUGACUAUUAUUACUAAAAAAAAUCUUUUGCAUAUAGAUGUGUUCAACAUUUAUUUUGCAAUUCUCAAGACAAAUCAGUGGUACAUCUUAAUAAGUGAUAUAUUUGUUAGGAAAAAAAAUUACUAUAUGUAUCUAGUUAUUUGCAAGACUAAUGAUUCUUAGCAAAUAUGCUUAUAUUGAGAGAACUUUUUUCUAAAGAGAGCUUAUAAUUAGAGACUAAGAUUUUGCCAAAAAAUAAAGAAAAAUUAGAGAAUAAGGUUUAUACUAUACUUUAGAAACUAAUUUGAUGAGAUACGACUAAAUCGAAGAUAUAUUUUUUUAGAAUAGUGUUAGAACCUUAGAAAUUAUAAUCAAUAGAAAUAGAAAUGUUCCUUACAGAUCCAUAAUAGUGACAAUCUUGUCUUUUCUUUUGAGGAAAUAAUAAUAAAGGUGGUGCCAACAUUUCAACAAACCUAGCUAUUUUAAUUAUUCUGUUCUCACAGCCUGCACCUUAGAUCAAAUCCAAAUUGGGUCAUCACCGUUCCAAAAUGCUUAGGGACGUUACUCUAAAUGUCAAUAUGAAUGAGUAAUUCAAAUAGUUAACAUAGCCCGCCAGCCUUAUAUAAUAAUAUCAAUAUAUGUCGACUAAUUAUCGAGAUGCUAAAUUGGAGUACACUUCACAAACAAAAAUCUUUCAUAAGGCGUUUUUUCUCUUAAUACAUUUUUUCUUUUCUUAUGCUAGUAACAUUUACUCUGUAUUGGCCUUCCUAAGAAGAAGUUGGAUAGUAGCAAUGUGUUCGUGAGACUGCUGAUAUCUUAAAAGAAUGUUCUCAUAGAUUCCACUUUUUUAGUAAGCUUUUAUGUGUAUGAGUUUGCAAAUUUAACCCUUUUUAAUUCGGAUAGAUUUAUAAGUCACACCUUCAAGUACAAUCGACAAAAUUUCAGUAAUAAUUACGGUUUAGGGUUUAUGGGUCUAGAUCUACUAAAAAUGAGUGGGUGUAUAAAUUAGUAUAUCCUAGAGUUUAUUAUCUUACGUUCGAUCUUCUUUGCAGAAACUCGUGCAUGUUCGUGAUAUAUAUUUUCGCGAGAAGUACAUUUCCCUAAAACAAAAUCAACCACUGACAUAAACACGUCAAAUGUAAGCCGGUAAAUCCAAGCUUUACUAACACGAGUUAUAUUAUAUCAUUGGCAUCAGCUACUUAAGAACUACUGUAGAAAAUUUACAGCAAGUCAUCGAGGCUUAAUAAAAUGUGUUGAUAUAGUUACAAAGAUAAAUUAAAUAGCAGAGCAUACAUGAAGAGAACAAAUGUAGAGCAACCCCUUAAACAAACCCUCUCAGUAAGGUAUCUUCACAUUACUCUAAGUUCAUAAAAGAUGACUUUAAAAACGAUUAUUUCAAAAUGCAAGUAUUCUCCGACCCCUUUUUCCCGGAUCUAGAUCUAAUAGUGUAAGGAUAUAUAUAAAUCAUUGUCACAUUUUACAACUCAAGAGUUUACCUCAACUCGUUUUGUUUAGGUAAAUUCGACUCGAGAACUCGUAUGACUUUACCUAAAAUUAAAAUUAUAUAAAAUUUAUUAUAUAUGCAUGACAUAUGUAAGUUAAUAUAAUAUUGUAAAUAGGUCAAUAGUGCAAAAUAUGACUUAAUUACAAAGACAAAUUAUACCAUAAUAAAAUGUUAUGCUCAACUUAGCUUCAAAAUACAAAAAUUAACGCACAAAAUCAUAAGUCUCUAAGUUUAAGCCAUCCAUAAAACCAUCCAAAAAAAGAAAGUUUCACAAGUUCCUAAAGUUAUUAAUAAAACUAUCUAAAAAAUAAAGUAGUUAAUUUCUUCAAAACGUCAACAAACACCACCACAACAACCCUAACCAGUGUCACAAUCACCGGCGUUGAAAUAUGAAUUUCCACCGUCUGAAUCACAACCCUAAAUGGUAUGUGCUCCCCUGUUCAUGGUUUGAGAACUUAGAAAAGAAAAAGGGCAAUCCGGUGCACUAAAGCUCCCACAUACGCAGGGUCCGGGAAGGGGUCCCACCAUUUUUUGUGUAUUGUACGCAACCUUACCCUGUUUUUGAUCACAAAAGAAAAAGAAACGUUUCAUUUUAGGAACAACUUGUCACUGUAAAGGUAACUAUUAAUUAAACGUUUCAGUCUUUGGGGUUGUAGAAAAGGAAUUGGAUUUUGAAAAAAAUGGGCACAUAAAAAGGGCCAAUUUUUAGAUGUAAACUCGUAAAACUCAGUAAACUCGGUCGAGUUUACACGAGUUUACCUAGUGUUAACUCGGUCAAACUCGUUAAACCUUCCAAUUUUACCAGAAACCGAGUUUACCUCCGAAUUAACAUGAUUUUGGCACCUACGUAAACUCGAAGAGUUAACACUCAAUUUGCGGAACAUUGCAUAUAUAUUUAAAGAUAUAUGUAUAAUUAUAGAGAAAGUAGAGAAGGGAUAUACCAUUUUAUGUAGGGUUAUUAUGUAUCAAAUCAUAAAGAGUCGAGAGUUGUAUUAUACCAUAAUAUUCUUCCGUAAACUGGUAGUCAUGAUCAUGACGUAUAUUAUUCAAGUAUAUGCAAAAACAUGUCUGUAUCUAGUCUAAAUUUUUGACCAAAUGCAUGUAUUUGCUUAUAUUUUGUUACUACUUACUACUCGCCAAGUAAUGCUCAAUAUCUAAUAUAUAUAUUUCAAGACCAUCAAAGAUAACUCAGUUGAACAAUACAUAAUAUAUGCAAGGUUCGGGGUAUAUUACAUUUUCAAUUAUUCUAAUAAUAAAUUUAAAUGACACUUAAAUUAUACAACUAUUAAAUAGAUCUUAGUACCGUAAAAUUUAUAUUCGAGACUUGCUAGGGAGAACCAUCAACCUCAACAAAAAUUUCUACUUGAAUCUAACGCAAACAAAAGGUCCAACCAUCUAUGAAUCUCCGUUGAUAUCACAAAUGAUGUUUGAUACAAGAGAGACAUAUUAGAACAUAAUCUAUGUACAAUCUACAUUAAAAUAAAAAACAAGUCUACAGUCAUAUAAAUAACACAAUUUCAAAAUCUCAAAAUUAGGUAUGAAAACAAAAUGAUUAGAAAAAUAAAUGAUUCAAUCAUUCCGAGAUUUGUGCAAAAAAAAAAAAAAAAACAUUUUGAAAAUACAAUGUUAGAAACUUAUGAUCAAUAUAUAUUUUUCCUUACACAUCAAAAAUAAUUAAGCUAUAUUCUUGUCUUUUCAUUUUGGGCAAACUAAAAUUAAAAUCAAGGUAGUGUCAAUGUUUCUAUAGUCCUAGCUAUUUGAUUUUCUUCUAAGCUAACAAGAGUCUUCCAAAAUCAAAUUCGCGCUCAAAAUUAAAGCAACUUGGGUGGUAACCAUUCCAAAAUACUUAGGGCCACAUUGCUCUAAAAGUCAAUAAGAAUAAGUAAUAAUUCAAAGAUAGCCAACCUUAUAGUAUAUUUUAAUAUGAAUGUAUGCAUGUUUCCUAGAAGGUGAGUAAGCUAACUAAUCAAGAUACUUUGUUGGAGUUAAAUAUGGUAAAGAAUCCAACUAUAAAAUGGGGACUUGCCCCAGCAUUCUUUCACAAACCAAAACCAACUUCUAAGAAAAAAAUGAGGUCCCUAAUGGCCUCUGCUUCUCUCACUCUUGCAUUAGCCAUCCUCUUUUUGAGUUUCCCAUCUGAAAUUUCAGCAAACAAAUACGCAUAUUCCUCUCCACCACCACCACAUUACUCAUCUCCUCCACCUCCACCGGUUCACACUUACCCUAAACCAGUCUACCACUCUCCACCACCACCAGUUCACACCUACCCUAAACCAGUUUACCACUCUCCACCACCACCAGUUCACAAGUACCCUCACCCUAAACCAGUAUACCACUCUCCACCACCCCCAGUUCACAAGUACCCUCAUCCACACCCAGUCUACCAUUCUCCACCACCCCCAGUUCACAAGUACCCCCAUCCUCACCCAGUGUACCACUCUCCCCCACCACCACCACCAAAGAAGUCCUACAAAUACCCAUCUCCCCCACCACCACCAGUUCACACCUACCCUAAACCAGUCUACCACUCUCCUCCACCCCCAGUUCAUCACACCUACCCUAAACCAGUCUACCACUCUCCUCCACCCCCAGUUCACACCUACCCUCACCCUAAACCAGUCUACCACUCUCCACCACCCCCAGUUCACACUUACCCUAAACCAGUCUACCACUCCCCACCACCACCAGUUCACACCUACGUCCCUCACCCUAAGCCAGUCUACCACUCUCCACCACCACCAGUUCACACCUAUCCCCCACAUGUUCCCCACCCAGUUUACCAUUCUCCUCCUCCUCCAGUUCAUUCCCCACCUCCACCACACUAUUACUACAAAUCACCUCCUCCACCUUACCACAACUAGAUAGCCCAUAAUUGGCAUCACACCAUAUGGUAACUUUUCAUGCAACAUAUAUAUUAUAACUUUUCAUAUUCUCUCUUUAUUAACUAGUUAUCGGUAUGAUUGUCGAGUAUAUACUAACAAGGCUAAUUUGAAAUGAAACUUCAUGUGCAAUGAAACAUUCUUUUACUGGUUAAUAUUUUAUUCUAUGUUUCAUUGAAAUUAAUAUUUUUCUAAUAGUAUUUGGUUAUUAAGGGAUUAGAGUAUAUCAGACAUAAACUGACAGAUCAAUAUAUUUGC